GGUCUUGAUUGCAUGGUCCGGAGUUCAAGCCCUACAUUGGGCCCCAUGCUGGGCGUGAAGCCUACUUAAAAAAAAAGUCUCAAAUAAACAUAAAAACGGUAUUUUAGUUAUAUUUUAUAAUACAUUCAAAGAUUUUCUUAAGAUAGAAAAACUGAGGGGCAGAGGCAAGUAGGGACAAAAGGAAGUGGAAAAAGACACAGUGGAGUGCUAGAUACACCCAUGACUUACAUGGAGUAACAGCCCCAUAGUGUCACUUUUUACAACACAAAAGGGCGGUUAUCUUUUCACAAUGAUAAGCAGAAAUGUGGGCAAAACUUCUCCUGGGAGCUGGUGAUGUUGAGGAUAAAAUUUGGGGUAGGAAUGAGAGUUCCCUUAGCUGUGGCUGAAAAUGAGGGAGAUCAUUUCCUUUGAUGUUGUAAUGUUUAACUUUGAGAACUAAUCUACUGCUCUGGAUUCAGCUCCUUCUUUAUAAUAAUGGGCAAUGACGACUGAUGAGCACAUAGAAUACGAAGAGUAAGAGAAAGCAUGGCAAGAGAAAACCAGAGUGGUGGCUUUUUAACACAUUAGGAUCAUCCAGGAAGCUGUAAACCUGUCCAGCCCAGCCCUGACCCCAAACCUCUCAAGCCGCCAUGGCUGGGACCCUGGCAGCAGAUCAGGACUUAAGAGUCUACAGGUGUGGCCAAUGUGUGGCCAGUUUGAGAACACUGGUCCAAAAGAUCUGUCCCAAAAGGCUGAUAUAGGAAAGGAAAAUACACCAAAAUAACUGAAAUGAGAUUGGGGGAGGGCCACGCAAAGUCUUCUCCUGGAAGAGAGACUGAGAACAAAAGAUAGAGAUGAUUCAGGAGGUGAGAACGCAGGAGGGUGGCAGCUGAAGAUGCCGUCUCUCUGAUUCAACUUCCAAGAGCAAAGACAGAGGGGAGAACCCGGGAAUUUUGCUGGAAAGUUGAGUGUAAGAACAUCUUCCCCCUUUGCCUUAAUUAACCUUUAUUCCAAUGCAGCACUUUGAGGGCUGGGAGAAGGGUGCUAAAUCCUCCGAUUCAUUUGGUGCUGGGCCUCACACAGCAGCAGUGUAGGAGGAAUUCUCACCGGAGGGAACACUUGCUCUUAUGUAGGACUCCUAAGGUUUCCCUCCUCCAAAGAAGCCAACGGUUCUGACAAUGGACACACCAGCCAUAGAAGAACAGCCGCCUCACCAGUGGAGGUGACCAGCCAGGCCAGCAGGAAGCUGGUGAUGGUCAUGGCCAACACUUUGGGGAAGCAAUUGAGGGACCACAGCACCAGGUGUCACUGCUUCCCAGAAAAGUCAGUUUGUGAUCAAGUGGAUUUUAUGAUGCUGAAGUCCUUUCUGGAAGGCCAGAGACACUUUGAAAUUGGGUGUCCAAGUGGGCUUGAGAACUGGAUUUUUCUAUUGGUGAGAAAGCUCUUGUUUCCUCCAAAGCAGUAGGCCCUGAGUAAGCUCUUGGAACCCCCCUGAAGCCUUGGAAAACUUGCCAUCUUCUGAACAAAAGCAUCUCGUACAUACCCUUAGGAAAUAGUUACAUGGAAGUUUAUGCUCAGUCUCACUUUGUUUUGCCUGCAGCAUAUAAAAAGUUUGCAGUGUGCAUCUCCCGUGCUCUGAUGUUGUGGAUUAAUCACAUUCUGAGGUAGAGCCUAGAGCCUGGCCCUGCCUGAACUUUCAGUGAGAAGAUGCAGCUAUAUUGGUCAGGACAAUUAUGGAGAUAGGUCAGGGCAUUAGAGGCUUUGGCUGCAGGCACUGGUGAUUAGGUUAGAGCCCGCUGGACAAAUGGAUUAGUGUUGGCUGAUUGGGCUCCCUUGGACAAAGGGAAAGAAAAGACUACUUUAAUCAAGACUAAGCCACAUCUCCCAGGCAGUCAGCCAUCGUCAGUGCCUAAGAAUGUUCCAGUAUGCUAAGGCCUGGCUGGUGUCUGUUAGAUGGGACUCUGCACCUGCACCAGUUGGGAAUACAGUCAAAAGAUGGAAGCCUGGGAGGAAAAAAUCUAGGUCAACUUCUGUUGAUUCCCUAACAUUCUAGUUUCAUGACUUAAAAUGUACUUCUCAUUGGUCCAAAUAACUACUGGACCCCAAGUUUAUGAAUAUAAGCACUUUCAAGCAAGCUAAGUGGCUCCCAAGGAAUAUAUAGUUAGUCCAAGACUUGGACUAUAUUUGCAUUGACCUUGGCUUCUUACUUCUUUAUCAGCUCCUAGGUCUAUCUGAUUGGGUCUUGCCAUUUGUCAAUUCUGAGUAAUAAAGCUUCUAGAUGAGC